rnacentral:rRNA from 1 species
UACGUAGGGUGCAAGCGUUGUCCGGAAUUAUUGGGCGUAAAGAGCUCGUAGGCGGCUUGUCGCGUCGAGUGUGAAAUCCUGCGGCUCAACUGCAGGCUUGCAUUCGAUACGGGCAGGCUAGAGUUCGGUAGGGGAGACUGGAAUUCCUGGUGUAGCGGUGAAAUGCGCAGAUAUCAGGAGGAACACCGGUGGCGAAGGCGGGUCUCUGGGCCGAUACUGACGCUGAGGAGCGAAAGCGUGGGGAGCGAACAGG